rnacentral:rRNA from 1 species
AACGAACGCUGGCGGCAUGCCUAACACAUGCAAGUCGAACGAAGUCGUUCGGACGUUAGUUGGCGCACGGGUGAGUAACGCGUGGGAACCUGCCCUUCGGUACGGAAUAACGUCGGGAAACUGACGCUAAUACCGUAUAUGUCUCCGGAUGAAAGAUUUAUCGCCGGGGGAGGGCCCGCGUCCGAUUAGCUAGUUGGUGA